UGGAUUAGUGGCGAACGGGUGAGUAACACGUGAGUAACCUGCCUUAGAGAUGGGGAUAGCCUUAGGAAACUGAGAAUAAUACCCAAUAACAUAAAGCAAUCGCAUGAUAGCCUUAUCAAAGAAUCUCGCUCUAAGAUGGACUUGCGUCUGAUUAGCUAGUUGGUAAGAUAAAAGCCUACCAAGGCAACGAUCAGUAGCCGGCUUGAGAGAGUGUACGGCCACAUUGGGACUGAGACACGGCCCAGACUCC
rnacentral:rRNA from 1 species